AUGAAAAAGAUGAAUCCUAGCACUACAAAUCACCUGGAACACAGAGAUGCACAAAUCAUUUCAGCAUCCAGGUUUUCAUCUCCACAGCUCGUAACAAAGCCAGCUGUUGGGACAGGAGCAUUUCUAAGUUAUAAACCAGGGAAGCCAGAGGAGAAGCUGCCCUUCCAUUGCCAAGGCUGUGUGCCGUGCCAGGCCAUCAGCAGAACUCGUUCAUCACUGCAGCUCCUGUAACUCACUUCUCUUUCCCAUAUGUUGGGAUGGAUCUUUUACCGUGCUGCAACGAAUCACAUCACAUUUCAGCAAAAAGAACAUUACAUUAACACCAGAGAAGGCACUGUGAGUAUUCCUUUACAAAGGAUUUAUAAGGGUCAGGAACAGGCACAGAAUUUAACAAAAUACUUGUCUGCUAAUAGCACUCAUUGUUUCCAUUCAGAUCUGAAAAAUUCACCUUUUUCCAUUGUUUAGCAUAUAAAAUUGGGUAGGAUUUUAAAGCUCCAGCUUCAGAGAGUCUGCUCUUAAAUUUAAGAGCUGUGAUUACCAAUUUAAAUGUCCUUUGGAAUUCUUAGCUCUUUCAUCAUCAAUUCUUCCCAUAUCAGUAAACGAAUCAUCAUUUACUAAUAACACUAGGAAGAUUUUUAAAAAGGACUAUUAAAUACUUUAUAUUUUAAUCUAUUGUUUUAAAAUAUUUAUUUUACUAGAAAGCGUGACUUUCAUAUUGGUAUUUUUCUUUUCAAAGCUAACAUUUCCAGAUGAAAUACAAAAACAAUAGCCUUUAUUUAUUUUGAAAGCAAGAAUCAGCCCAUUAUUCCUAAACUGAAAGUAUUUACCUGUCAGAAGCAGCACAGACCAGAUUCCUCUAGAUUCUGUUCAGAGCAUGGAGCAUUUCACCCCUUUUAUGCCCACUUCCAGUAUAUAUUUAUUUAAAUAAACAUUGGUAACUACAAUUUCAGGAUUCAACAGUCGAAGCUGAAAACUGUGAGGGACCCAAUCCUGGGCCUCUGUUUGUAGCAAUUCAGCUGGCACUGCCCUUUUUGCUUGCU
rnacentral:lncRNA from 1 species